CUGGUUUUCUAAGAUUAGCCCAAGAUUUCUGGCUGUUCUAGUUGGGAUAGUUGUCAGUGAUCCCAACUGGAUAGAGAAAAUUGUGCUGUACUGUUGUACUGGCUGGGAAGACAAAGUCCUGUCUUCAUUAGAUUUGGUGAUGUCCUUAAAUACAUGAUAUUCUUUCAUACAUCAUUACACUCUUGUACAUGGUGAAGUGACAAAAAAGUGUGCUGAGAUGAUGUGGAACAACCCCUGCAAGUCUCUGUCGCUACAUACUUCACUCGAAAUGGUAUUGCACGUGUCUAAUUUUAGAGCUAAUUUUAUGAUCAGCUCCCACAAGCUCACAAUUUCCUGGUGCAUCCAAACCAAGUAAAAUAAAAAGGGCGGUGGUCUGGUUAUAUCACAGUAUAUAGUACACUGCAUUUCACUGUAAACUUAGACAGUAGCGUGUUUAGGCACCAUACAACCCACGCAAUUGCGUGGGGCCCUGCGGUCUAGGGGGCUAGAAACCGGAACACGAUUUCUCUAUGCUGAUAAUGUUUGACAGACCAGGACUGCUAUGAUUGCUUGUGUUCUUUUUCCACCUCCUGGUUCCAAGGUCAUGACAGGAGAUAGGAGCAUGCAUCCAGACAGACAGCACAAAUACCAUAUUUUAUAUCUUUUGGACUCCACAUUGAGCUUGUAUUUUUUAUGAUCCCCCACAAAAGGAGAGGCAAAAAAAACAGAACACUAAUGGCAGUACAUGAGACACAGUCCAAAUUUGGUCUAAUUCACUGCUGCAAAUACUCUACCAUCUCUACUUCAGUAAACCUGGUUUCAUCAGUGUGAUCUAUCCACUUUAUUUUGGUCUGUAAAGCUUAUUUGGAUUUUACAAAAUGAUCUUUCAAAUACAAUACCCUGAAAAUGACUUAAAAAAAAAAAAAAGAUGUUAAUUUCAUUUUAUAAGAAAUGAAAAUGUUUGGUUUUUGUUUGUGCGCGGCAGUCGACCGUGAGGGGCUGUCGCGCUGUUUUGUGUUUAUUUUGUUAUUAAGGUUUUAUUUGAGUGUUCGCCGGUUCCCGUCUCCUUCUUCCCGUGACUAUGGAGUUUUAUAUUGUUACAGUCUUAUGCCAUGAAGUUACUUCUUUUUUUUUUUUUUAUAAAUUCAUAUUCAGUUUAGCUUCUCUCAAGUGGCUACCAGUGAACAACAGGAAAAUAUAAAACUC
ensembl:lncRNA